CCUACGGGAGGCAGCAGUGGGGAAUAUUGCGCAAUGGGCGAAAGCCUGACGCAGCGACGCCGCGUGAGGGAUGAAGGUCUUCGGAUCGUAAACCUCUGUCAGCAGGGAAGAACGGUCACUGUGCUAAUCAGCAGUGAAUUGACGGUACCUGCAAAGGAAGCACCGGCUAACUCCGGGCCAGCAGCCGCGGUAAUACGGAGGGUGCGAGCGUUAGUCGGAAUUACUGGGCGUAAAGCGCUCGUAGGCGGUAUGUCAAGUCAAGGGGGAAAUCCCCGCGCUCAACGUGGGAACUGCCUUUGAAACUGGCAAACUGGAGUGUGUGAGAGGAUAGUGGAAUUCCAGGUGUAGGAGUGAAAUCCGUAGAUAUCUGGAGGAACAUCAGUGGCGAAGGCGACUAUCUGGCACAUAACUGACGCUGAGGAGCGAAAGCGUGGGUAGCAAACAGGAUUAGAUACCCGUGUAGUC
rnacentral:rRNA from 1 species